rfam:Ricinus communis ctg_1100012361039, whole genome shotgun sequence.
AUCAUCAAAUGAUGAAACUUGGAAUAUCUUAGGACACCUUCCUACAUAGCUUUAAUAGCUAUGGAUGAGAAUAGCGUUUCCGUUCUGAUGAUGAU